rnacentral:rRNA from 1 species
AACGAACGCUGGCGGCAGGCUUAACACAUGCAAGUCGAGCGCCCCGCAAGGGGAGCGGCAGACGGGUGAGUAACGCGUGGGAAUCUACCCAUCUCUACGGAAUAACGCAUGGAAACGUGUGCUAAUACCGUAUACGUCCUUCGGGAGAAAGAUUUAUCGGAGAUGGAUGAGCCCGCGUUGGAUUAGCUAGUUGGUGGGGUAAAGGCCUACCAAGGCGACGAUCCAUAGCUGGUCUGAGAGGAUGAUCAGCCACACUGGGACUGAGACACGGCCCAGACUCCUACGGAGGCAGCAGUGGGGAUUAUUGGACAAUGGGCGCAAGCCUGAUCCAGCCAUGCCGCGUGAGUGAUGAAGGCCCUAGGGUUGUAAAGCUCUUUCACCGGUGAAGAUAAUGACGGUAACCGGAGAAGAAGCCCCGGCUAACUUCGUGCCAGCCGCCGCAGUAACAC